CGUUCCCCCACUACCACGGCCACGCGAAGAACUUCAAGGACUGAGAGUGGCAACAUCCUGCUACGAAGAAGGAAGGGAAGGUGACAGAUCAACCAGCAGCGAGAAGAGGGAACUUCUUGCCCCAGAAGGCGCUGAAAAGCUGGAUAAUCGUCAAAGCCCAGGAACUGGGGUAAUUCCAGGGGAGAUUGAGACUGCUGACCUAAUGGAGGGAUGAAAGGACUACCCCAACGCUCCCUUCGAGAAUUAAAAUCACACCGUAGCUUUAAAAUCAAGCGGAAAAGAUACGGACCAAUGGAAAAAGAGGAUACUCAGGUCAAUGAUUAUCUAUUAGAUAAGGGAGGUAUGUGAACUGUCGUGGAUAAAUGGCCCCCGGCGGGUGUGCGCGGCUCACGGAAAUAUUCCACGUAAAAUGAUGUCUCCGCUCUUAAACCUGCUUCGUGCGUUAUUUUAAAUUACAGGGAAUAGGGGUGUUUCGGAGCGACGCCAAAACCCGUUUGGGGCGAUGCCAGCGGCCGGCUUUGAUCCGUAGGGAAGAAUUUCUCCCAGAUCCUCCUGAUUAUCAUAAAAAGAAACAAAAAAACCCCCACAAACCACGCGAGAUCGGUAAAAACAAGGAAUUCCUUUCUCCGUGCAGGAUCGCCGCGGCCCUACCUCGAGCAUCCGGCGCCGAAUCCCGACGGGGGACGCGCACCGGGUCGGCGACGCCUCCGUGCCGGCGGCCACCGGCGGCGAGGUGCGCUCGUCCCCUCCCAGCAGCCGCGGCCAAACGCCGUUGGGUUGGUUUCCCUUCACCCCACGACCCGGAAAACACCGAUAUCGGGGAGGGAUUUUUUUUCAACCGAUAAGGAAUAUCCAAGGAGGAAAGCGGUGAGGAUGAGGAAAUGCCGGCGCGCGGUAGGAAAACGCGGCGGUCGCCAAACCCCUCCCGCGCCUCAGUUUCCCCCGGCUGCGCCACCGGGGGGAAACCGGAGCCAAAAAGGGAAGGAAAAAAGAAAAGGAAAAAAAAAAAAAGCCUUAAAACCAGGAAAAACAACUCUUUGGGGCGGCUCCUCCCGGCCCAGCCCCACCCGAGUGCCGGGGUGGGGGAGCGCUGGGAAUUCCCGGCUGGAUAUUGCGCCUGUUUGGGGGUAGGAUGAGGGCACAGGUCGCUGCUCGUUCCCCGUGAUGGGGUCGGAGUCGCUCCGAUUACCCGGAGCAACUCCUGAAAAUACGGGUUUUUAAAAAGAAAAAGGAAAAACACAAA